GACGAACGCUGGCGGCGUGCCUAAUACAUGCAAGUAGAACGCACAGGAUGCACCGUAGUUUACUACACCGUAUUCUGUGAGUUGCGAACGGGUGAGUAACGCGUAGGUAACCUGCCUGGUAGCGGGGGAUAACUAUUGGAAACGAUAGCUAAUACCGCAUAAGAACAUUUACUGCAUGGUAGAUGUUUAAAAGGUGCAAAUGCAUCACUACCAGAUGGACCUGCGUUGUAUUAGCUAGUAGGUGAGGUAACGGCUCACCUAGGCGACGAUACAUAGCCGACCUGAGAGGGUGAUCGGCCACACUGGGACUGAGACACGGCCCAGACCCCUACGGGAGGCAGCAGUAGGGAAUCUUCGGCAAUGGGGGGAACCCUGACCGAGCAACGCCGCGUGAGUGAAGAAGGUUUUCGGAUCGUAAAGCUCUGUUGUUAAGGAAGAACGAGUGUGAGAAUGGAAAGUUCAUACUGUGACGGACUAACCAGAAAGGCG
rnacentral:rRNA from 1 species